GAUGAACGCUAGCUACAGGCUUAACACAUGCAAGUCGAGGGGCAGCAUGGUCUUAGCUUGCUAAGGCCGAUGGCGACCGGCGCACGGGUGAGUAACACGUAUCCAACCUGCCGUCUACUCUUGGACAGCCUUCUGAAAGGAAGAUUAAUACAAGAUGGCAUCAUGAGUCCGCAUGUUCACAUGAUUAAAGGUAUUCCGGUAGACGAUGGGGAUGCGUUCCAUUAGAUAGUAGGCGGGGUAACGGCCCACCUAGUCUUCGAUGGAUAGGGGUUCUGAGAGGAAGGUCCCCCACAUUGGAACUGAGACACGGUCCAAACUCCUACGGGAGGCAGCAGUGAGGAAUAUUGGUCAAUGGACGAGAGUCUGAACCAGCCAAGUAGCGUGAAGGAUGAAGGUUCUAUGGAUUGUAAACUUCUUUUAUACGGGAAUAACGAAUCCACGCGUGGAUUUUUGCAUGUACCGUAUGAAUAAGGAUCGGCUAACUCCGUGCCAG
rnacentral:rRNA from 1 species